rnacentral:lncRNA from 1 species
CUAAAGGUAAGAUCGUUUAUGAUUAAUGUUCGUGGUAAUGGUAAAAUUUGUGAUUUUUUCUUUCAAAGAUUUUGGUUGUCUUAUUCUUUCUCACCUCUGUUUUUCCUAAUUUUUGUUUCUACGGAUGUAGUUUCUGUUGGAAAUUUUGAAUCCAAAUCUUUGGCGAUUUUCUAAUUGAUUUUUGAUUAGUUUAUUGUCAAUUUUUUUUUACCUGCAUGUUCUACUUUAGGAUCCCUCAAAUUGAGAGGACUGGUUAAAAUUUAAUAGGGAACUCCAUUAGUUUAGUUUGAUUGUGAUUCUAAAUUUCAAGAUGGAGCUUGUUAUAUUGAGAUGCUGAGAGUCUGUUUCCAUUUGUUAUCCGAGAAUAUUAAGCUUUACUCAUUAUUUGAGAUGCUAAAAGUUUGAAUUGAAGAAAUUGUGGAUUUGUUAUACCGCGUAUGCUCUCAUGUAUGGUGGUGCCCAGAAUUUUUUUGCCUUUCUUCACUGGUUUUAUACCUAUUACUUCUAAAUUUCUUUGAAUGCUUGUGCCUUUUUGCUUUAAUUUUAGUUUUUUACUCUUUCAGAUAAUCUCUUGCUAGAUAUAUACAUGCAUGUCAUUAUGCCUGAGCUGCACAUCAUCCCAUUUAGUGCCUUUUCCCCAUUUUUUCUUAUAAUUUGCUCUUUGAGUUUGAAGCUCACUCUACUUAAGCCUAAGAUACUUGCAAUGUUGCAGAGGUACAACUUUUUGUAGUUGACUUCGUACUCCAUCUGUUCACUUUUAUGAUAUAGAAAAGAAUGUUUUUCUUUGGAUUUGUGUUGUAAUCAGUGAAGCCAAAUGGCGAGAAAGUCCGGAGAAUCAGAUAGAGAAUCAGAUUCCAAAAUCUAAUUUUGGAAGACGAUGAGGUAUUUUCACGUAUAGUAAUGACAUCUAAUUUUCUUUGCAUAAUUAUAUUACUUCCUCACAUCUCUCAAAAAGCUAUUAAACUUUACAUGAGAAACAAAUUAGGAUAGUUGUGUAUGGUGAUGAUAUUGGACAUUAUGCAGAUAAGCUUCACAUACAAAUUUAUCGGUGCAGACGAGAUUCAACUAGACAACACACAUAGAUCCUACUUAUUCACAAGCAAUGAAGUCAUCAACUGGUACCGACUUUUUACUCUUAACUCUCUAGAUUUAAUAUGAUUUGAAUAGCACAUUGAAUAAUUUAUUUCGUGUGAUGAUAGGGAAAAAAAAAAGAUAUACUUUCAAGCCAUACAUUGGGCAGCUUCUCCAGGUCAUCCACCCCUCUCAUCGUGAUUUCUGUUCACCAAAAGGUUAUCCCCAUUGCAGAAAUUACAUCACAAACUUCUA